UCACCAAGCAAUAAGUUACUCGAGGGUGCGGCUCUCCUGUCACUUUAAAGAAAUCACGCUUACCCAUUUGAUCUCGCGAGAGUUUACAAUCUGCGCCUGCUUUUGGGUGGAAGAUGGCGGAAGCAAAUACAACGUUAACAGAUGCGAGGACAUGUCGGGAGGGAGGCUGUGCGUAAAUGAGGAUUCUGAUUAGAUGGGUGUUAUUCAUAUGCAUCUGACUAGAUGUCAUGACUUAAUGUACUGUAGUAUUAAUUUCAACUAGCUGUGGUUUAGCUACUUUCAAGAACUGUUAUUUUUUGCUUAAUGACUGGUCUGCGCACCGCCAUUUUUAAUUUCUCGUCUUUGACGAGAAGAGGUAGCCUGUGUUAGCUUGUACUGUACGCCAACGUGCCAGCUUCCUCAUGCACGUAAGUGGCACUAUCGGCUGGAAUUGUAGCAGGUGAACUUCCUGCUCGUCUGACAAUUUCAUCACCAAACGACAUCGGCGGAGGAGGUCUUGGCCAGCAAUGGCCAUCUUGCCACCGUAUCAACAUGACGCAUGCAGAAGCAUCCUCGACCAUUGGAGGUGUGGUGACACUGAAGAACACAAGAAGGAGGUCACCCAUGCUUCACUUGAACUGCAUUGGGCAGUCUUUUGAAACCCAAUAUUAAAGUGCCUCAUCUUAAUUUAUGUGUGUCUGAGUGUUCCCUUUGUGGCUCUGCUGUGGUGAGGUAGUAAGUUGUGUUGUUGGGGAUUUGUUUUGACUUGCCCCCCUUGCUGGAGAUAACUAUACAGCUUACUGCCUUCCAUAAGAGAGCAACUAUGCCUCAAGAAUUUGACAUUGACAUUCAUUUGUUUUCCUCUUGGGGUCUUUUUCUGUUUUCAAGGUGUUUCUGUAAACAUAGAAUAGCUUUCAUAACUUGAUGCAAUAUAAAACAUCUUUGUAACGAAUCAUUCUUUGUUAAUAAAUGAAUCACUAAAUA